GGAUGCGAUCAUACCAGCACUAAAGCACCGGAUCCCAUUAGAACUCCGAAGUUAAGCGUGCUUGGGCGAGAGUAGUACUGGGAUGGGUGACCUCCUGGGAAGUCCUCGUGUUGCGUUCC
rnacentral:rRNA from 1 species